rnacentral:rRNA from 1 species
CAUAGCGACUAUCGUGGCAUAUCAAUAAGCGGAGGAAAAGAAACUAACAAGGAUUCCCUUAGUAACGGCGAGUGAAGCGGGAAGAGCUCAAAUUUGAAAUCUUCAAGGUUUUACCUUGACGAAUUGUAGUUUAAAGAAGUGUUUUCUGCUGGAGUUUUGGCUAAAAGUUCUUUGGAAUAGGACAUCAUAGAGGGUGAGAAUCCCGUAUUUGACCAUUAUUUCCAACUGUGUGAUACACUUUCAAAGAGUCGGAUUGUUUGGGAAUGCAGUCCAAAAUGGGUGGUAAAUUUCAUCUAAAGCUAAAUAUUGGCGAGAGACCGAUAGCGAACAAGUACCGUGAGGGAAAGAUGAAAAGAACUUUGAAAAGAGAGUUAAACAGUACGUGAAAUUGUCAAAAGGGAAGCGUUUGACACCAGUGUUGUUUUUCCGAAAAUCAAUUACGAAUGUUUUAUUUUUGAGAAGUUAUGACUUCAUCGGCUUGCUUCUCUCUUUAUGAAACUUUCUUAAUGCACUUUUCGGUUAACAAGUCAACAUCAAUUUCUUUUGUUGUAAAAGGGUAUGAGGAAGGUGGCUUUCUUUUCGGAGAAAGUGUUUAUAGCCUUGUACCUCUGCAAUCGGAGAGAUUGAGGUCUGCAGCGUAGAUCCUUCGGGGUUAGAUACAUUUGUGCUAAGUUAUAGUUUUUCAUAGACAACUUGUUGACUAUGAUUAAUCAUGUAGCUUACUCGCUUAUGCUAUUUUACCUACGCUUAGGAUGUUGAUAUGCAUGACUGAUAU